rnacentral:rRNA from 1 species
GACGAACGCUGGCGGCGUGCUUCACACAUGCAAGUCGAACGAAGUGGCGUACGGGUGAGUAACGCGUAAUCAACCUGCCCUUCAGAGGGGUACAGCAGUUGGAACCGACUGCUCAUACCUCAUACUGAAGGAGGUGAUUGCGUCUGCUCAGCUGGUGGGAGUGGUAAAGGCCCACCAAGUCGAUGAUCCGUAGCAGGUCUGAGAGGAUGAACGGUCAUAGUGGGACUGAGACACGGCCCAGACUCCUACGGGAGGCAGCAGUGGGGAAUCUUCCGCAAUGGACGAAAGUCUGACGCAGCAACGCCGCGUGGGUGAUGAAGGCCUUCGGGUUGUAAAGCUCUGUUAGUCGGGACGCGGUACCGGAAUAGAAAGCCACGGCUAAUUACGUGCCAGCGGCCGCGUAAUAC